CCUACGAGAGACAGCAGUGGGGAAUAUUGGGCAAUGGGCGCAAGCCCGACCCAGCAACGCCGCGUGAAGGAAGAAGGCUUUCGGGUUGUAAACUUCUUUUAAGGGGGAAGAGCAGAAGACGGUACCCCUUGAAUAAGCCACGGCUAACUACGUGCCAGCAGCCGCGGUUAUACGUAGGUGGCAAGCGUUGUCCGGAUUUACUGGGAGUAAAGGUCGUGCAGCCGGUGAGAAAAGUCAGAUGUGAAUUCCAAGGGCUCAACCCGUGAACUGCAUUUGAAACUGUUUCCCUUGAGGGUCGGAGAGGGAAUCGGAAUUCCUGGUGUAGCGGGGAAAUGCGUAGAUAUAAGGAAGAACACCAGUGGCGAAGGCGGAUUACUGGACAAUAACUGACGGUGAGGCGCGAAAGCGUGGGGAGCAAACAGGAUUAGAUACCCGGGUAGU
rnacentral:rRNA from 1 species